rnacentral:rRNA from 1 species
GGAGCAUUCUGUUUGCGCCGAAGCAGUAUCGUGAGGUAUUGUGGAGCGGACAGAAAAGAAAAUGUAGGCAUAAGUAACGAUAAAGCGGGCGAGAAACCCGCUCACCGAAAGACUAAGGUUUCCUCAGCCAUGCUAAUCAGCUGAGGGUUAGUCGGGACCUAACGCGAACCCGAAAGGGGAAGUGGAUGGACAAUGGGUUAAUAUUCCCAUACUUGCUCACACUAAAAAGGGGACGGAUUUACGUACUUGCUGGAGACUGACGGAAUAGUCAAGGCCUAGCCUUCGGGCGAAGCUGCUGCAGGGAAAUAGAUUCCAAGAAAAGCCGAAGUGAAGCAACCCGUACCAAAACCGACACAGGUAGUCGAGGAGAGAAUCCUAAGGUGCUAGAGUGAAUCAUGGUUAAGGAACUAGGCAAAAUAGUCUCGUAACUUCGGAAGAAGAGACGCCAGCAGCAAUGCUGGCCGCAGUGAAGAGGCCCAGGCGACUGUUUAUCAAAAACACAGGACUCUGCUAAAUCGAAAGAUGCUGUAUAGGGUCUGACACCUGCCCGGUGCUGGAAGGUUAAGGGGACCCGUUAGCUUCGGCGAAGCGGAGAACUUAAGCCCCAGUAAACGGCGGUGGUAACAAUAACCAUCCUAAGGUAGCGAAAUUCCUUGUCGGGUAAGUUCCGACCUGCACGAA